ACAAUYCCCUAGYAGCGGCGAGCGAGCGGGAAAGCUCAAAUUUGUAAUCUGGCGUCUACGACGUCCGMKUUGUAAUCUCGAGAAGUGUUUUCCGUGAUAGACCGCAUACAAGUCUCUUGGAACAGAGCGUCAUAGUGGUGAGAACCCAGUACACGAUGCGGAUGCCUAUUACUUUGUGAUACACUUUCGAAGAGUCGAGUUGUUUGGGAAUGCAGCUCAAAUUGGGUGGUAAAUUCCAUCUAAAGCUAAAUAUUGGCGAGAGACCGAUAGCGAACAAGUACCGUGAGGGAAAGAUGAAAAGCACUUUGGAAAGAGAGUUAACAGUACGUGAAAUUGUUGGAAGGGAAACACAUGCAGCCAGACUUGCUAUUCGGGGCAACUCGAUUGGCAGGCCCGCAUCAGUUUUUCGGGGCGGAAAAGCAUAGAGAGAAGGUAGCAAUUUCGGUUGUGUUAUAGCUCUUUAUUGGAUUCGCCCUGGGGGACUGAGGAACGCAGCGUGCUUUUAGCAUAAGCUUCGGCUUAUCCACGCUUAGGAUGCGGGUGUAAUGGCUGUAUAUGACCCGUCUUGAAACACGGACC
rnacentral:rRNA from 1 species